rnacentral:tRNA from 1 species
GGGCCCAUAGCUCAACGGUUAGAGCAGGAGACUCAUAAUCUCUUGGUUACAGGUUCGAAUCCUGUUGGGCCCACCA